rnacentral:rRNA from 1 species
GACGAACGCUGGCGGCGUGCUUAACACAUGCAAGUCGAACGGAAAGGCCCUGCUUUUGUGGGGUGCUCGAGUGGCGAACGGGUGAGUAACACGUGAGUAACCUGCCCUUGACUUUGGGAUAACUUCAGGAAACUGGGGCUAAUACCGGAUAGGAGCUCCUGCUGCAUGGUGGGGGUUGGAAAGUUUCGGCGGUUGGGGAUGGACUCGCGGCUUAUCAGCUUGUUGGUGGGGUAGUGGCUUACCAAGGCUUUGACGGGUAGCCGGCCUGAGAGGGUGACCGGCCACAUUGGGACUGAGAUCCGGCCCAGACUCCUACGGGAGGCAGCAGUGGGGAAUAUUGCACAAUGGGCGGAAGCCUGAUGCAGCAACGCCGCGUGCGGGAUGACGGCCUUCGGGUUGUAAACCGCUUUCGCCUGUGACGAAGCGUGAAUGACGGUAAUGGUUAAAGAAGCACCGGCUAACUACG